rnacentral:rRNA from 1 species
UACGUAGGAUGCAAGCGUUGUCCGGAAUUAUUGGGCGUAAAGAGUUCGUAGGCGGUGAUUUAAGUCUGAUGUUAAAGCCCGGAGCUCAACUCCGGCAUGGCAUUGGAAACUGGAUUGCUAGAGUGUGAUAGAGGUAACUGGAAUUCCAGGUGUAGCGGUGAAAUGCGUAGAUAUCUGGAGGAACACCGGUGGCGAAAGCGAGUUACUGGAGCAUAACUGACGCUGAGGAACGAGAGCCAGGGUAGCAAAAGGG